rnacentral:rRNA from 1 species
AUGGCGAGGGAGGACCGACCGGAGUUCGUGAGGUGGAGCGAGGAGUUCCUCUCGCAGGAGAGGGGCAGCCGCGUCGUGCAUUACUACUUGGAAGACGCCGAGGGCGUGUCUCACCUGGCAGUCGUGGGCACCGAGCGGAGCCUGCGCCACAUGCUCUACGUCGUUUCAGAGGAUUUCCAUGGGCCGCAGGGAUCCGGUGGCGCUGAUGGUGGGCAGGGGAUGUUUGCGCGCAAGUGGCGGUCACGCCGUGAGGUGGUGGAUUGGCUCGAGUCCUUCCUUCCGGCGAAGACCCUCACCUCAAAUUGUCCCUCAGUGAUAUUGAUAUCUAGUUGCUUGUUGUUCAUUCCAGAUUUUUCAAAAUUUGGACCUCGUAUGGGCAAUGAUGUUGGAUUAGAUGGAUACAGCGAAACUGAUAGCUAUGUGUGUCACAAUCUGGGUACAACUUGCAGUACAGACAUUAUGUGGUCUGGUCCAUUCUGGACUUGUAGCAAGCAGCUUCAGCACUAUCAAGCCUUUUGUCGUAAUGGAACCACAAUAUCUAUCCACUCUUUUGCACUUGUCAUGUCUGAGGAGGAAAACCGUUAUCUUGCAUACUUGGAGGAUAUGUAUGAAGAUAAGAAGGGACUCAAGAAAGUUAAAGUGCGAUGGUUUCAUCAAAACCAGGAAUUUGCUUGUGCCAUACCUCCUCCUGCUCCUCAUCCUUGCGAAGUUUUCAUCACCUCUUAUUCUCAAGUAAUCAGUGUUGAGUGUGUCGAUGAUAUUGCUACUGUUUUAACCCCAGAGCAUUAUGAAAAAUGUGGGGACACUUUGCCAAAUAGUUCAUUGGCGGGGAUCCGUUUCUGCUUUCGUCAGUACAGCAAAAAUAAAUUUAAGCAUUUUGACUUGAGAACAUUGCGUGGAUAUUUUAAUCAAGCUGCUGUCCUAUCCUUGAAAGUUUCACCUGAACAAGAAAAGGAUGGUUCUGAUGUCAUAAGGAUACUCAGACAUUGUUCACCUGGGAAGACCAAGUCUUCAAAGCAGUUCGAGAGGCUUUAUUCGAAAUGUUUGGGUACCAAAAUCUGCCGAAGCCCACAAGCAGACUCCAUACCAUCUUAUCAGAAGCCAAGUAAUAAACAAUCUCCUGUAAGACAUCUCUCAGUUAAGUUUAUAGGGCCCCAGAGUCAGCCUAUGCCAACCUACAACGUUGGUGACAAGAUAGAGGUCUUAUCUCAAGACAGUGGCAUUGUGGGCUGCUGGUUCAGGUGUACAGUUCUGAGGCCAUGUACUAGUCAUGACAAACUGAAGAUUCAAUAUGAUGAUCUCGAAAAUGCUGAUAAUUGUGGUAAAUUGGAGGAGCGUGUACGUGCCUCUAUAUUGGCUCUUCCUGAUAAACUUGGACUGAGAUGCCCAGGCCGGCUAAGAAUUAGGCCACGUCCUCAACAAAAGACUUUGGUCGAUGACACUGCUCUUUUACCUGGAACUGCUGUUGAUGUCUGGCAAUUUAAUGGCUGGUGGGAAGGAGUUUUAGUGAGUACAGAUGCCGGUUCAUCUGAUGGCCUGCAAAUAUAUUUCCCAGGUGAAAACUUUUUUUGUGUAUGCCAGCUAAAUGAUAUAAGAAUUUCAAGAGAUUGGAUCAAGAGUCGUUGGGUACAUAUAGAAAGGAAGCCAGAUGUGCUGUCGAGAAUACCUUCGGCUGGUGUCCAAACUAGGCAACUUGAUAACAUGACAUCCACUGGUCGUUUGGGCUCCAAUUCUGCACUAUCUGAUCAAGAGCUUGCUGUUGUGCAAGCAAACUCCAGUCGAGAUAAACAGACUGGAGUCAGUAUGCAAACUGAUGUUAGUUUGAUUGACAAGGCCUCUGCUUCUAUAGAUGAUGAGAAGCAAACAAUAUUAGGGAAGCGAUAUGCUGAGCAUGACUGCAAUGGGGAAGAAACAGGAGCUGCUAAGCAAACUGAGGCUAGUUUAACUGAGACAGCCUCUGCAGCUGCAGAGAUUGAAAAGCAAACGAUGUCAGGGAAGCGGCUUAGGGAGGGUACUGCAGAACAGAACUGCAACGGGCAAAUGUUUAGUUUGACUGAUAAGGGCUCUGCUUCUGUAGAGGAUGAUGAGAAGCAAACAGUGUUAGUGAAGCGAGUGAGGUAUGAUGAUGCUGAACAGGACUGCAAUGGGGAACAAACAGGAGCUGCUACGCAAACUGAGGUUAGUUUAACUCACAUGGCCUCUGCAGCUGCAGAGGAUGAAAAGAGAACGAUAUUGGGGAAGCGGCCUAGGGACGAUGCUGCGGAACAUAACUGCAAUGGGGAAGUGUUCUGUUCAACUGAUAAGGGCUCUGCUUCUAUAGAUGAUGAUGAGCAAACAUUAUUAGCAAGGGGACCUAGGGAGGGUGAUGCUGAUCAGCACUGCAAUAAUGAAGUGUUAAGUUUGACUGAUAAGGCAGCUACUUCUGUAGAGGAUGAAAAGGAGACAAUAUUAGGGAAGCGGCCAAGGGAUGAUGAUGCUGAACAGCAGUGCAACGAUGAAGUAUUCAGUUUAACUGUUAAGGCUUCUCCUCCUAUAGAGGAUGAAAAGCAAAGAGUAUUAGGGAAGCGACAUAGGGGUGACGAUGAUGAACAAGACUGCGACGGGGAAGUAGGCGUAGACUUAGAUGUCAGCAAGCCGUGA